rnacentral:rRNA from 1 species
UAUCUUGACCGUGCGAAGGUAGCGUAAUUGUUUGCCUUUUAAAUGGAGGCUGGUAUGAAUGGCAAGACGGAGUCUGACUGUCUCCCCCUUAUUUCUUGAAGUUGAUAUUCUUGUGAAGAAGCAGGACUUGGAUCGUAGGACGAGAAGACCCUGUCGAGCUUUAGUGGAGAAUGUAGGUAUAAUGAUUUUGUCUGUGAUGGUUAAUUCUUCUAUAUUUAGUAUGUUUAUGGAGUUACUUUUGUUGGCAUUGAUUGUUUAUGUUUGACACUUGGGUUGGGGCAACUUCGGAGAAUAAGAAUCCUCCGAUUUUUUUUGUAAAGAAAAUUUUUUAAAAGGUACUUUGCCAGGAAUGAUCCACUUGUUUAGUGAUUAACAAAAUAAGUUACCGCAGGGAUAACAGCGUGAUUUUUUUGGAGAGUUCAUAUUGAUAAAAGAGUUUGCGACCUCGAUGUUGGAUCGGGAUUUCCGGGARAUGCAGGAGUUUUCAAGGGUUGGUCUGUUCGACCAUUAAAACCCU